CUGCUGCCUUCCGUAGGAGUCUGGUCCGUGUCUCAGUACCAGUGUGGGGGACCUUCCUCUCAGAACCCCUACGCAUCGUCGCCUCGGUGGGCCGUUACCCCGCCGACUAGCUAAUGCGCCGCAUGGCCAUCCGCAGCCGAUGAAUCUUUAACCGCCGAGGGAUGCCCCUCUGCGGUGUUACGCGGUAUUAGACGGAAUUUCUUCCGCUUAUCCCCCUGCUGCGGGCAGGUUCCAUACGUGUUACUCACCCGUGCGCCGGUCG
rnacentral:rRNA from 1 species